rnacentral:rRNA from 1 species
UACGUAGGGGCGAGCGUUGUCCGGAAUCAUUGGGCGUAAAGAGCGUGUAGGCGGCUCGGUAAGUCCGCCGUGAAAACCUGAGGCUCAACCUCAGGCUUGCGGUGGAUACUGUCGUGCUAGAGGAUGGUAGAGGCGAGUGGAAUUCCCGGUGUAGCGGUGAAAUGCGUAGAUAUCGAGGAGGAACACCGUGCGGCGAAGGCGGUUGCUGGGCCGACUACUGACGCUGAGGCGCGAAAGCUAGGGGAGCGAACGGA